rnacentral:rRNA from 1 species
UACGGGGGGGGCAAGCGUUGUUCGGAAUUACUGGGCGUAAAGCGCGCGCAGGUGGUCUUUCAAGUCAGUGGUGAAAGCCCGGAGCUCAACUCCGGAAAUGCCAUUGAAACUGUGAGACUUGAGGACGAGAGAGGUGAGUGGAAUUCCCAGUGUAGAGGUGAAAUUCGUAGAUAUUGGGAAGAACACCGGUGGCGAAGGCGGCUCACUGGCUCGUAUCUGACGCUCAGGCGCGACAGCGUGGGGAUCAAACAGG